rnacentral:rRNA from 1 species
GACGAACGCUGGCGGCGUGCUUAACACAUGCAAGUCGAACGGAAAGGCCCUGCUUUUGUGGGGUGCUCGAGUGGCGAACGGGUGAGUAACACGUGAGUAACCUGCCCUUGACUUUGGGAUAACUUCAGGAAACUGGGGCUAAUACCGGAUAGGCGCUCCUGCUGCAUGGUGGGGGUUGGAAAGUUUCGGCGGUUGGUGAUGGACUCGCGGCUUAUCAGCUUGUUGGUGGGGUAGUGGCUUACCAAGGCUUUGACGGGUAGCCGGCCUGAGAGGGUGACCGGCCACAUUGGGACUGAGAUACGGCCCAGACUCCUACGGGAGGCAGCAGUGGGGAAUAUUGCACAAUGGGCGGAAGCCUGAUGCAGCAACGCCGCGUGCUGGAUGACGGCCUUCGGGUUGUAACCCGCUUUCGCCUGUGACGAAGCGUGAGUGGCGGUAAUGGGUAGAGAAGCACCGGCUAACUACGUG